AAAAGAAACAGUACAUGCGUACAGAGGAGGUUUUACACCUACAAUGGCACCAGCACAGCCAACCGGCGAGAUUCGUUGGCAGCGAUCGGAGCAGUUUGCGAUUUACCCACCAACCUGCGACGGCGAAACGAUCCAGUGUGACUCCGUGCGGUAGCGCAGCGACGGAAAUGUCACCACCGAGUUUGAACUUCCUUUUGCGGUAGGAUGUUGGAAUCAGUUGGAGGAUUUAUUCUUUUCGAAAAAAAAAUCAAAUAUUGGGAAUAGUGCGUUAUCACUGUUCGGAUUUUGUUUACAGGUUCGAAUAGAGUGAUUUACGCCACCACUCGAGAAAGCCUAGGACCACAUUCAUGCUACUGUAUAUGCUACAUAAAUGAUUAACCAAUAAUAAUAAUAAAAAGUCUACCCCAAAGAAAGCGGAUUAAUGAUUUGUAAAACUAUGAAGCCCGCGUUAGUAAUUAUCGUUUACCAAAGCGAAACACCACAAGAACGAGGCUCAUCCGAGUGAACAGACCCUACUUGAAUUCUCUUCUCUGUCUGCCAGUGCAUCACCAUAAUUGUCUGACCUUGGAACGUAAAUUUAAUUAACCUGUUCAAAUCAGUUAUGAGUUUAUAAAACAAAUCCUACAAAAAUACGUGACUUUGCAUUUGAACGAAGUUGUUCGAUAACUAGCAGCUGGGGCAACACAGGAAACUGGCGAUUUGAAUAUUAGUUGAAGCUUGAUAGUAUCCAUCGAGUCGGGUUGUGGGCAUGAAACUCUUUCUUUAAUAAUAAAAUAUAAAAUAGAAUGUGUUCCUAAUUGGUAGCUGUUGCCAACGAAUGCAUGUUGCACAUGUACAUGUAGGCUUAGGAAAGAUUUUAUGUUCUAACAACACUGAUAACCAUAACAUAAGUAAAUGAGUAAUGAUAUACAGUUGAAGAGCUCUAAUUGGCAAAUUUUUUCCCAUGCCCAGCAUAAAAUAUCAGGAAUAUCUAUCAUUUCAUGCACUGUUUAUUUGAACUCGCUUUUUUUCAAUGACAGUACCCUCAAAGCAAACCGAGCGUGUUUUGAACUCUCCACAUGAAUCAUUUCUUCCCACAUUUUAGGAAAUCUUUAUCACCUCUUCAAUAUGAAAUUAUGUAAUUAUUUUUGGCAUAACAAAUCGUCAAAAUUAUAAUCGAAAAAAUUCUUUUUUUAAAACACAUUUUUCCUUAUGUUACGUUAGACACAGUCUCAAAAUAGAUUCUCCCCACCUUCCAUGCACAUAAGCGUACAGCCAUUUGUUUUGAAUUGAAAUCAGAAAUCUAACUAGAAUCAAACAAAAAGUUAUCCCAAUUAUUAACAUUCAAAUAUAAUGUUAAAGUGGUAAUAAAAUCCAAUCUUUGUUAUAAUUGACUGCAUCAAUCCUCGUUUCA